rnacentral:rRNA from 1 species
CCGUAACUUCGGGAGAAGGUGCGCCGGCUAGGGUGAAGGAUUUACUCCGUAAGCUCUGGCUGGUCGAAGAUACCAGGCCGCUGCGACUGUUUAUUAAAAACACAGCACUCUGCAAACACGAAAGUGGACGUAUAGGGUGUGACGCCUGCCCGGUGCCGGAAGGUUAAUUGAUGGGGUUAGCGCAAGCGAAGCUCUUGAUCGAAGCCCCGGUAAACGGCGGCCGUAACUAUAACGGUCCUAAGGUAGCGAAAUUCCUUGUCGGGUAAGUUCCGACCUGCACGAAUGGCGUAACGAUGGCGGCGCUGUCUCCACCCGAGACUCAGUGAAAUUGAAAUCGCUGUGAAGAUGCAGUGUAUCCGCGGCUAGACGGAAAGACCCCGUGAACCUUUACUGUAGCUUUGCACUGGACUUUGAGCCUGCUUGUGUAGGAUAGGUGGGAGGCUUUGAAGCGUGGACGCCAGUUCGCGUGGAGCCAUCCUUGAAAUACCACCCUGGCAUGCUUGAGGUUCUAACUCUGGUCCGUAAUCCGGAUCGAGGACAGUGUAUGGUGGGCAGUUUGACUGGGGCGGUCUCCUCCUAAAGAGUAACGGAGGAGUACGAAGGUGCGCUCAGACCGGUCGGAAAUCGGUCGCAGAGUAUAAAGGCAAAAGCGCGCUUGACUGCGAGACAGACACGUCGAGCAGGUACGAAAGUAGGUCUUAGUGAUCCGGUGGUUCUGUAUGGAAGGGCCAUCGCUCAACGGAUAAAAGGUACUCCGGGGAUAACAGGCUGAUACCGCCCAAGAGUUCAUAUCGACGGCGGUGUUUGGCACCUCGAUGUCGGCUCAUCACAUCCUGGGGCUGAAGCCGGUCCCAAGGGUAUGGCUGUUCGCCAUUUAAAGUGGUACGCGAGCUGGGUUUAGAACGUCGUGAGACAGUUCGGUCCCUAUCUGCCGUGGACGUUUGAGAUUUGAGAGGGGCUGCUCCUAGUACGAGAGGACCGGAGUGGACGAACCUCUGGUGUUCCGGUUGUCACGCCAGUGGCAUUGCCGGGUAGCUAUGUUCGGAAAAGAUAACCGCUGAAAGCAUCUAAGCGGGAAACUUGCCUCAAGAUGAGAUCUCACUGGGAACUUGAUUCCCCUGAAGGGCCGUCGAAGACUACGACGUUGAUAGGCUGGGUGUGUAAGCGUUGUGAGGCGUUGAGCUAACCAGUACUAAUUGCCCGUGAGGCUUGACCAU